GCAGAUAGCUCGGCCGCGCGUCUCAGCUGCCGGGGCCCCGAGCGCAGGCGGCGAGGCCACCACACCUGCAGAGCGCUCGGGCUGCCUAGCCGGCACCUCGCCUCCCGCCGCGCGAUCCCCUUCUCCCCACGCGCCGAGUCUCCCAUGACGCCCGAGCCCCCCGGCCGGCGACAAUGACCACUUCCCUGCAAGAUGGGCAGAGCGCCGCGAGCAGGGCGGCUGCCCGGGAUUCGCCGCUGGCCGCCCAGGUGUGUGGCGCUGCCCAGGGGAGGGGCGACGCCCACGACCUGGCGCCGGCCCCCUGGCUGCACGCGCGAGCGCUCCUGCCCCUUCCGGACGGGUCCCGCGGCUGUGCUGCAGACAGGAGAAAAAAGAAAGAUCUUGAUGUUCCGGAAAUGCCAUCUAUUCCAAACCCUUUUCCUGAGCUAUGCUGUUCUCCAUUUACAUCUGUGUUGUCAGCAGACCUGUUUCCCAAAGCAAAUUCAAGGAAAAAACAGGUGAUUAAAGUAUACAGUGAAGAUGAAACCAGCAGGGCUUUAGAUGUACCCAGUGACAUAACGGCUCGAGAUGUUUGUCAGCUGUUGAUCCUGAAGAAUCAUUACAUUGAUGACCACAGCUGGACCCUUUUUGAGCACCUGCCUCACAUAGGUGUAGAAAGAACAAUAGAAGACCACGAACUGGUGAUUGAAGUGCUAUCCAACUGGGGGAUAGAAGAAGAAAACAAACUAUACUUUAGAAAAAAUUAUGCCAAAUAUGAGUUCUUUAAAAACCCAAUGUAUUUUUUUCCAGAGCAUAUGGUAUCUUUUGCAACUGAAACCAAUGGUGAAAUAUCCCCCACACAGAUUUUGCAGAUGUUUCUGAGUUCAAGCACAUAUCCUGAAAUUCAUGGUUUCUUACAUGCGAAAGAACAGGGAAAGAAGUCUUGGAAAAAAAUUUACUUUUUUCUAAGAAGAUCUGGUUUAUAUUUUUCUACUAAAGGAACAUCAAAGGAACCGCGGCAUUUGCAGUUUUUCAGCGAAUUUGGCAAUAGUGAUAUUUAUGUGUCACUGGCAGGCAAAAAAAAACAUGGAGCACCGACUAACUAUGGAUUCUGCUUUAAGCCUAACAAAGCGGGAGGGCCCCGAGACCUGAAAAUGCUCUGUGCAGAAGAAGAGCAGAGUAGGACGUGCUGGGUGACCGCGAUUAGAUUGCUUAAGUAUGGCAUGCAGCUGUACCAGAAUUAUAUGCAUCCAUAUCAAGGUAGAAGUGGCUGCAGUUCGCAGAGCAUAUCACCUAUGAGAAGUAUAUCAGAGAAUUCCCUGGUAGCAAUGGACUUCUCAGGCCAGAAAAGCAGAGUUAUAGAAAAUCCCACUGAAGCCCUUUCAGUUGCGGUUGAAGAAGGACUCGCUUGGAGGAAAAAAGGAUGUUUACGCCUGGGCACUCACGGUAGCCCCACUGCCUCUUCACAGAGCUCUGCCACAAACAUGGCUAUCCACCGGUCCCAGCCAUGGUUUCACCACAAAAUUUCUAGAGAUGAGGCUCAGCGAUUGAUUAUUCAGCAAGGACUUGUGGAUGGUGAUGUGAUGUCGGAAUCUCACACAGCGCAAAUGAAAUGGAUAACCUCGUCAGACAUCUGUGAUGCUUUAAAUUUGGCUGCCUCUUUGCCCAGGCACAGUGAGAUUCAUAUUGGAUUCACCAGUGGGGAUCAUUUACACAGUGUAUUUACCAGCAAUUAAUACAAAACUGGUUUUGCAUUGCACUGCCAGUAAAUAAGAAUCCACUUCUGGCAGCAUUUUUCUCUUAGGCUGUUAGAGGCCAUGUCUUGUUUUUCUAGCCUGGCAUUAUAGAGGCUUUUCUGCUGCAUUCGUCAAGGUUAAAGUAUGUGUUGUUUGGAUGAUUUUUUUUACUUAAAGCAUUUUGCUUAAACAUUUAAUAAAUAAUUUCAAGAUUUUUUUAAAACAAUAUAUUGAUUUCUUUCUUGCUAUUGUGUAUGAACAGUUGAAACCAGAAUCAAAAGAAAGGGUAUCCAGUAUAGAAGAGGGGGUUAUAAUAAAAUAAAAUUUCAGGCCAGGCGUGGUGGCUCAUGCCUGUAAUCUCAGCACUCUGGGAGGCCGAGGCAGGUGGAUCACUUGAGGUCUGGAGUUCGAAACCAGCCCAGCCAAUAUGGUGAAACCCUGUCUCUGCUAAAAAUGCAAAAAUUAGCUGGGCAUGGUGGCAUGUGCCUGUAGUCCCAGUUACCUGGGAGGCUGAGGUGGGAGAAUUGCUUGAACCCUGGAGGCGGAGAUUGCAGUGAGCCGAGAGCACUCCAGCCUGGGUGACAGAGCGAGACCCUGUUUCAAAAGAAAAAAAAAAUCAUUCUAAAUUCUUACCUUCUUUCAAAACUUAACAUGACCCAGAAGGUAAAAUAACAAUAUGAAAAUGCCUUACUCUUUAGGCAAAACAGUUACAUGUGAAUACCCAGUUUCCCAGUGCAAAGAGAACGUUUCACCAAUUGUUGAUGCAGACAUAACAGUGUAUUGUUUAUUGUGAUCAAACAAUCUGACUAAUGGGUUGUGUAUUUAGCCUAUUAAAAUUACAGUAGCACUGAUGACAGCUUUGUAGUACAGAUUAUGUUAUACCAUAUUGAUUGCCAAGUUAGAUAAUCCCACCCAUUGAAUACAUAGUAAAGGAGUCCCCAGCUACAUUUAUGCAUACACUUCUUGGAUUUAUUAAUGCUAUAGUUCUAUGAAAUCCAUGAGUAAAUAUAGAAACAUUGAAAUUCCUUCUCUCUCUUUAGAGUUUUCUUGGUACGGGAUAGUCAGAGUAACCCCAAAACUUUCGUACUGUCAAUGAGUCAUGGACAAAAAAUAAAGCACUUUCAAAUUAUACCAGUAGAAGAUGACGGUGAAAUGUUCCACACACUGGAUGAUGGCCACACAAGAUUUAC